rnacentral:rRNA from 1 species
UACGUAGGGUGCGAGCGUUAAUCGGAAUUACUGGGCGUAAAGCGUGCGCAGGCGGUCUGUUAAGACCGAUGUGAAAUCCCCGGGCUUAACCUGGGAACUGCAUUGGUGACUGGCAGGCUUUGAGUGUGGCAGAGGGAGGUAGAAUUCCACGUGUAGCAGUGAAAUGCGUAGAGAUGUGGAGGAGUACCGAUGGCGAAGGCAGCCUCCUGGGCCAACACUGACGCUCAUGCACGAAAGCGUGGGGAGCAAACAGG